AGUGAACGCUGGCGGUAGGCCUAACACAUGCAAGUCGAACGGCAGCACAGUAAGAGCUUGCUCUUACGGGUGGCGAGUGGCGGACGGGUGAGGAAUACAUCGGAAUCUACUUUUUCGUGGGGGAUAACGUAGGUAAACUUACGCUAAUACCGCAUACGACCUACGGGUGAAAGCAGUGGAUCGUCGGACCUUGCGCGAUUGAAUGAGCCGAUGUCGGAUUAGCUAGUUGGCGGGGUAAAGGCCCACCAAGGCGACGAUCCGUAGCCGGUCUGAGAGGCUGAUCAGCCGCACUGGAGCUGAGACACGGUCCAGACUCCUACGGGAGGCAGCAGUGGGGAAUAUUGGACAAUGGGCGCAAGCCUGAUCCAGCCAUACCGCGUGGGUGAAGAAGGCCUUCGGGUUGUAAAGACCUUUUGUUGGGAAAGAAAAGCAGCAGGUUAAUACCCCGCUGUUCUGACGGUACCCAAAGAAUAAGCACCGGCUAACUUCGUG
rnacentral:rRNA from 1 species